CACGUAAGGUUUUACCCACUUUUAACAUCGCAUUUCACCCAAAAUGCAACGUUAAGCAUCCAACUAACAGCAUUUGUUGUAAUAUUUGAUUGAGGAAUUAAUAAUCAUAGUUUAUAACUUACUUUAAAAACGAGCUUACUCCAGCUCCACUUCUCCACUCAUAGACAGCUGAGAUUUUGUGCUGCAGCUUCAGCACAAUUUAUUUUCAAUUCAUAGACAACUUAUCAAAUCCAUUUGACAAACACUUUACUAAGCUUCUAUGUCAGUCUAAGAUCAUAUGUUAAAGGUGGUGAAGUUUUGCAAAAUACAGCCACCACGAGUGGAAAUCUGAGGUGUACGUUGGCCGGUGUACGGAAUACUGAUGCACACUGGUGACAGGACUGAGCGUGGUCUUCAGCGAUGAAGUCUGUCAGGCGCCAGACGAAGCCAGUCUUUGAUCACCUUUUCUGCAUCAGCUUCACUUGGAUUGGACAGCUGGGGAUUUCUCAUCGCAGACGCUGUUGUUGCUAAGGUGUUCCUAUGAAGUUUGCCAUGGUGUCCCGGUUUACUGCGUGACUCCAGGAACCAAGUGGUUGCAGGUGUUGUUAAAAGUGAGUUGAAAAUGGGAGUGAAGAGGGGACUCUGCAGUACAUGAAGUUCAGAGGCUAUAUUGCUUGUGCAUGUAGAAAAAUGAAUGGGAGUGAAUGAGAGGAAAGA